rnacentral:rRNA from 1 species
UACAGAGGUCUCGAGCGUUGUUCGGAUUCAUUGGGCGUAAAGGGUGCGUAGGUGGCUUGGUCAGUCGGAUGUGAAAUCCCGGGGCUCAACCCUGGAACUGCAUUCGAUACUGCCGGGCUAGAGUACUGGAGAGGAGAUUGGAAUUUACGGUGUAGCAGUGAAAUGCGUAGAUAUCGUAAGGAAGACCAGUGGCGAAGGCGGAUCUCUGGACAGUUACUGACACUGAGGCACGAAGGCCAGGGGAGCAAACGGG